AACUAAACCCCCAUUUGGCAGGCAAGGAAGCCAGAACGAUAAGGAUGUUGAUUUAUGUUUUAUCUGUCACUACAUUUUCAGUAAAGUUGGGCAGCGAGCCUUAACGAAGCGAGGGCUGUUAUCACCUCUCCUUAGCCCUUUAAGUGCAGCAGGCUCUUUGGUGUCUCUCGCUGAAUGCCGCUUUGUUAAUUGCGACGGUAAACAGGACGCAGCGCUGACCAUCGCCGCGUUUUGCUCAGGCGGCACUUACCACAAAACCAUUGGAUUUGGGAAAGGAUCCUGAGUCCAGGGGGAGUCACACACGAAAGAGGGUUCGUAGAAGUACUCAGCAUUUCCUGGACUUGCUUCUAUCAUUUAAAAUGUAUUGCAUACCUUGAAGUGAAUGUAAUGGAUGGCUUAAUUGGAGAUAACUUCACUGAAGUGGCCGUAGUUACCAUUUAUGUCAGCAGUGAAUGUGCCCUUUAAUGCUGUGCCCCUCAGAACUUCUGCAAGAGGAAUUAGAGUCCUGGCAGAGUGACCAGAAGUAUGACAUUCAGGAGAGGAAAAUGUAUUUUUGUUAACCUCGUGCAGAAGGCAUUAAGAGUAAUCUCCUUUAAAAAGCUUGAGGACAUCUGCCUGGGCUGCUUAACAGAAGUCUGCUUUUAGAAUAAACAAUACAUGAACAAAUUGUUUGCUACAAUGCAGCUGCAAUUUGAAGUCAGCAUUCUGAGUGGAGUUAGUUCCAGCUGCUGAUAUAAGGCUGUCUGAAAGCUCCAGUAUCAAUGAAGAGACUUCUGUUGAUGCUUACAGAUGACAAAAUAUCGUUCCCUCUCCUUUAUAACAGCAUCUCUUUCAGAAGAUAUUUCUGGAUACUGUCACAGCAUCUGAGGAACCAUAUUCCAGCUGUUCUCAGACUUUCCCAUUUCUGGAAGCCUACUCCUCCUUCAGCUCCAAUCACAGAUGUCCACACAAUAGAAAUGCAGUCAUCCGCCAAGAGGUCAGUCAAAGACUAACUAAAGAUUACGCCAGAAUGUCUCUGUUAUUUUUUUUACUCCAUCGAAGGAUCUUUAGAAUCACAAAGUCAGACAUGAAUUCAUUACCUCAAAGCAAGACACCGACAUUUUUGUGAGCUAGCCCUGACAGAAUUGUAUGUCUUUCCCAAAGUUACUAAGGUCUUUAGCCCAGGUAUAUCCAAGCUGCAAAUCAGGAUAUCAAAAUAUGCAAAAAAAAUUUAAUAAGACACAAAUCCCCCAAAAUAAAGGAAUUUAAAAGUUUUCUGUUCUCUUUAAAAUUUAGGCAACUUGCUUGAUGACAAUCAGCAGUCCUGUCACUUUCAGAUGUCACCAACUAUCUCUUGCUGCUGCUUUACUUCAGGUUUGAAGUUCCCUCUGCUCUUUGCUCUUUGCUCUUUUCUGGUUGAAAAAUCCUUCCCACCCUGGUGUCUAAAUACUUGGGAAAGCAUUUUCAAAGGACCUAAAAAUGUAUGCAGGAUACUUCAGAUUUUGUUUAAAAAGAAAGAAAAAAGGAAUAAACCUUCAGAGUCCUAUUGUAUAGAUUUGAUUCCUCAUGUCUUUAACCUCAACACUAGUAUACAGAACUCCACUGGAUCCUAUUUUCCAAUAAUUUUUAGUAAGUUAAUAUCCUAGAUAAUUUUUACAGUAUUAAAUAUUAAGCUUACCUUUAUGUUGAUCACUUGAACACAUACUAUGUUGGUCAAAUAUGUACAUGUAGAAUGCUUGUGCGUGUACCCACAAAUUAAAAAAAGUAAUAAAAAAUUAAACUGCUAAACCUAAACUGUAUUCAAAUAAAUAACUUGCCCUACUCCCUAGUCUACCCUAAUUUAUUUUUCUUUAGUUGCUUUUUUUACUGUAA